CUUGUGCUAAUACCGGAUAAGCCCUUACGGGGAAAGAUUUAUCGCCGAGAGAUUGGCCCGCGUCUGAUUAGCUAGUUGGUAGGGUAAUGGCCUACCAAGGCGACGAUCAGUAGCUGGUCUGAGAGGAUGAUCAGCCACAUUGGGACUGAGACACGGCCCAAACUCCUACGGGAGGCAGCAGUGGGGAAUAUUGGACAAUGGGGGCAACCCUGAUCCAGCCAUGCCGCGUGAGUGAUGAAGGCCCUAGGGUUGUAAAGCUCUUUUGUGCGGGAAGAUAAUGACGGUACCGCAAGAAUAAGCCCCGGCUAACUUCGUGCCAGCAGCCGCGGUAAUACGAAGGGGGCUAGCGUUGCUCGGAAUCACUGGGCGUAAAGGGUGCGUAGGCGGGUUUUUAAGUCAGGGGUGAAAUCCUGGAGCUCAACUCCAGAACUGCCUUUGAUACUGAGA
rnacentral:rRNA from 1 species